rnacentral:rRNA from 1 species
AUUGAACGCUGGCGGCAUGCCUUACACAUGCAAGUCGAACGGUAACAGGUCUUCGGAUGCUGACGAGUGGCGAACGGGUGAGUAAUGCAUCGGAACGUGCCCGAUCGUGGGGGAGUAACCACUCGAAGAGUGGCUAAUACCGCAUACGAUCUACGGAUGAAGCAGGGGACCGGCAAGGGCCUUGCGCGGACGGAGCGGCCGAUGGCAGAUUAGGUAGUUGGUGGGAUAAAAGACUUACCAAGCCGACGAUCUGUAGCUGGUCUGAGAGGACGACCAGCCACACUGGGACUGAGACACGGCCCA